UACAGAGGUCCCAAGCGUUGUUCGGAUUCAUUGGGCGUAAAGGGUGCGUAGGUGGUGCCGUAAGUCAGGUGUGAAAUCUCGGGGCUCAACCCCGAAACUGCACUUGAUACUGCGGUGCUCGAGGCCUGGAGAGGAGAUUGGAAUUCAUGGUGUAGCAGUGAAAUGCGUAGAUAUCAUGAGGAACACCGGUGGCGAAGGCGGGUCUCUGGGCCGAUACUGACGCUGAGGAGCGAAAGCGUGGGGAGCGAACAGG
rnacentral:rRNA from 1 species